CGAGAUAGGCCACGAAAUUAAAGAAAAAAAUCAGCCCAGCCCAAAUCAUCUUAUAUCUCUCUCUCUCAAAACCCUAAUCUUUCCAUCAAUACUCAGCUGUAACCCUCUUCUUUUCUCUCAACCAUUCCUUCUCUUCUUCUUUCUCGCAUGGACGGCAGGGCUUGAAGAUUCUCUCUCAUCAUUGAAGACUCACAAACAAACGGAGGUUCUUGUUGCUCUCUCGUCGCUGAUGGCUCUCACCUAACCCUGACGAUAGUGUUGACUCAAUCCCAAUCCCAAAAGUUGAUGGCUCUCUCACAAGGAUUGGGAUCACUCUCAAAUUUUCUCUAUUAUUGUGGUCUUUGUUGUGUUGUUGAGCAAAUAUGCUAGUCUCAAAAUCUUUGCAUAGACUAUUCAAAUUCAGGGAGCUAUUGAAAAUGGUAGUCAAAGGAAUUGUGGCUCAAAUGAGACUUGUUGAUGUUCUAUAAAGUAGGGCCAACAAUAUAUUUCUGUAACUCAUAAAUAUUUGAAUUUUUUUUUUGGUUCAGAUUUUGUAAUGAUGUCUUCAACAGUUUUUGUUGAAUAUUAUGGAUUGGUGUUAGAUAUAUUGUUUAUAAUGUAUUGUAAUUUAUUUUUUAUGUAUAUUCUUACAAUUAAUAUAUUGUAACACCCUAACUAACUUAGGCGAAUUACGUGAUUUUUUUUUAAACAUGCUGUGCAGCUCGUUGCUAAUCAACGAGGUUUAUGGAAAACGUGAUUAAUUAAAAUUUUUGCUUUUUGAUUAAACUUGUAAAAUAUAGUUACAAAAAGACUCGGGAUCCCGAUUACAAAAUCAUUUACAAAAUUUAACUGUUUAUACAAAAUAAAUGUCGCCUAGCGACUAGUUACAAAAUCAGCCUCGUUGUCCCGAUGAUCGUACGCUCUAGGCCUAACCGCCCCGACAUGUACAACCUUCAUAAGCUCGCUCACGGUCCAUCAGCUUUAGCCUUGCCUUUACCUACACAUAAACGUAGAACUGUGAGUCGACAGACUCAGUAAGAAAAGCAUAAUAAUACUCAUACAUAAAUCCCGGUCAUGAUCAGACGCCCAUACCCCUGAUCAUAACCCUAACUGCCGUGUCCAACACGAUACUGAGUCCCGCUACUGCCGUGUCCAACACGGUACUGAGCCACUACUGCCAUGUCCAACAUGGUACUGAGU